rnacentral:rRNA from 1 species
GACAGAGGGUGCAAACGUUGUUCGGAAUUACUGGGCGUAAAGGGCUCGUAGGCGGCCAACUAAGUCAGACGUGAAAUCCCUCGGCUUAACCGGGGAACUGCAUCUGAUACUGGAUGGCUUGAGUUCGGGAGAGGGAUGCGGAAUUCCAGGUGUAGCGGUGAAAUGCGUAGAUAUCGGGAGGAACACCAGUGGCGAAGGCGGCUGCCUGGGCCAGUUCUGACGCUGAGGCGCGAAAGCGUGGGGAGCAAACAGG